GCCUCCUCUUUUUUGCUUUGCCAGAUAUACAAAGCAAACCAAAUACCCAACAAUCACUUCGAACAUAUCAGCAGAAACUUCUCAUUCAGCAGUUAGUGCAUGUUUUGUGAGAUGUAAUUGCGGUAUAAUGAAAUGAAUUUUCUAUCAAAAUUUUAUAUGAUUAAUUUCUAUUAUGUACAAUUAUAUGCUACAAAACUAGUCCUUACUGUUUCCAGGAUUAAGAGUUUUAGCAAUUAGCAACAUAUGAUUAGCAUUGGGUCCUCAGAAACUCAGGAGUCAAUUCUGCAAGGAAUACCAAUCAGGAGAAUUUGUUAUCAAGACCAACAUAAGAUCAUGUGAAAGUGAAACUAGAGAUAUAAAGUUCAAAUGUGCCUUCAACUUUUUCACAAUGUCCAAAUAAGUCCAUUUUGAGUUUUUU
rnacentral:misc_RNA from 1 species